rnacentral:rRNA from 1 species
CCUACGGGGGGCAGCAGUGGGGAAUAUUGGACAAUGGGGGGAACCCUGAUCCAGCCAUGCCGCGUGUGUGAAGAAGGCCCUCGGGUUGUAAAGCACUUUCAGUGAGGAAGAACGCCUGGUGGUUAAUACCCAUCAGGAAAGACAUCACUCACAGAAGAAGCACCGGCUAACUCCGUGCCAGCAGCCGCGGUAAUACGGAGGGUGCAGCGUUAAUCGGAAUUACUGGGCGUAAAGCGCGCGUAGGUGGCUUGAUAAGCCGGUUGUGAAAGCCCCGGGCUCAACCUGGGAACGGCAUCCGGAACUGUCAAGCUAGAGUGCAGGAGAGGAAGGUAGAAUUCCCGGUGUAGCGGUGAAAUGCGUAGAGAUCGGGAGGAAUACCAGUGGCGAAGGCGGCCUUCUGGACUGACACUGACACUGAGGUGCGAAAGCGUGGGUAGCAAACAGGAUUAGAUACCCUGGUAGUC